ACUGUGUCCAGAACAUACUUAUAACCUGUGUAUACCUGCCCUUCGUACCUACAAUGAUGUUUACGCCUCUUGGUCUUCACACCUGGCCAAGGCAUGUAAUUGUUUCACCUGAGAUUGUGAAAAAAAAAUCCCGUCCACCCUCCUCGACAAAUAUGAAGGAAAAAAAAAAAUAAGGCGAGUAAAACCAGCAUUCUGUUGGGAAAUAUAAGAGAUCUUUUAUUUGUACAAACAAGUAUAAAAUUACAGUUACACGUCAUGUAUUUGUGUGGGAUGCCGGUAAACCAACCAUACGGUAGAGACAAACUGUACCAUCAACUCACCAGGAAAAAAAGAACACGCAAGUAUUACACAGUGUAAACUAUAAUAUAACUGAUACAAGCAAUAUACACUUACACCCCCCCAAAAAAAAUAAGUAGAAGAAAAUAAACAAAGAAAAACAAGAGGGCGGUAGUAGUAAACAUAAUAGGGAUCACUAAAAUAAAUCUGUAUAUAUAAGGUAAAUAAGGUAAAUAAAUCAGUAUCUAAGGGAAUAUACAUCCAUUAGAAGACUCCCCCAAAAACAUCAACAGAAAAAAAACAAAAAAACAGUCAAACUCAUCUUAUAAAAAUAGUUACCCCGAAAGUAAGAUAUUUAUAUAUUUAGAUAUUUUUUGUUAUUUAUUUAGACUAGUAUAUGUUUGGCACCCAUGAUAGGCUGUGUUGAGUAUGGGGGAGGGGGGGAGGGGGGGGUUGUAUUUUUGUGUUUUAGGUAAAUAUGUGUUAUACCUGUGUGUGUGUGUGUGUGUGUGUGUGUGAGAGAGAGAGAGAGAGAGAGAGAGAGAGAGAGAGAGAGAGAGAGAGAGGAGGGGGAGGGGGAGGAAUAUUUCACUGGUAUUGUGUUUUAUUGUUGGAGGGAAGGGAAGGGGAAAUGGAGGGAUGGAGGGAGGGAGUGAAGCUAAGUGGUAUGAGGAAAGGUUGGAAGGGUAGGGAGAGGAAGAGAAGGGAUGGCAAGGUAAUGUAGGGUAAGGUAAGGUAAGGUAAGGCUUGGUGAGAUGAGGUUAUUAGGUUAGGGAAGGGAAUGGUAGGGAAGGGACGCUUAGUGAUGGGAAGGGUAAGAGAGAGGGAAAGCUUCACAGGUUAGGUAUGGUAAGGGAAAGGAAGGGAUAUGGAAGAUGAAGUUAGAUGAAGUAGGGUAAGGAUAGGUUUGGUUAGGUCAAGUUUUGUUUCGUUAGAUUAGGUAAGGUAAGGAUAGGGUAGGUUUGCUAUAUUCCGUAAGGUUAGGUAAGGUAAGGUAAGGAUAGGUUAGGUUAGGUCUGUUACAUUUCGUUAGGUUAGGUGAGGUAAGGAUAGGUUAGGUUAGGUCUGUUAUAUCUCGUUAGGUUAGGUAAGGUUAGGUAAGGUAAGGAUAGGUUAGGUUAGGUCUGUCAUAUCUCGUUAGGUUAGGUAAGGUUAGGUAAGGUAAGGCAAUCAGGUAAGGUAAGGUGUGGGUUGUAAUUUCAGGUGUCAUAAGCCUUUGGUGUUACUACAUCGAGAAAUACUGAUAAUGAUCUACAAGUCCACCGAUAAAUCCUUCAAUAAACGUCUACGGAGGGUCGGGACUGUAUGUGUGUGUCGUGAGGGUAAAAAUGAGGGAAUGGAAGGGAAAACGGGAAUUAAUGGGGCUGGGAAUUCAAGGAAGGAGGAACAACACGCAGGCAAGAGUACAUUCGCCACUUUUUUUCCAUUGUCACACCUCAGUCCAACUCACGUGUCGAAAGUGACCCAAAGAAAACCACACGAAACAAUGAUGUGAAGAGUGAUAGGAAAGAAACGUAACAUUGCACAGCCGAGAAGCAGAUACCCAGGAAUUUAUUGUUUUCUGUCAUUCACCUGUUUACAUUUACCUGCACUUUCACCUUUUCUAUCUACCUGCAAUUAGUAUCAGUAGGUCAGUUCAGGUAAUGGUAGAUCAGGUCAAGUCCUCAUGAUACCAGGUUGUAUAAAUAUGUUUCAAUCAAUCACCUGUAUUUGCCGUGUUUCAUCACCUUUUUUUUUUGUUAAUCUGCAUUUGUAUCACCAGAUCAGGCAAGUUCAGGUCAGGUCAGGUUCUCUUGGCAUUAGGUUUUAAUAGUUUUUAUUUUUGUCUUUUUCACUUGUAUAUUUAGCCUGUACUCACCAUUUAAUUUAACUUGAAUCAUCUGUCACCUUGUUAGUUCAGGCAUGGUCAGGUCCCAUUAGGUCAUUACGAUAUUAUAUUUUUGGUUACUUUACUCUGUUCAAAUAAAGUUGGCAAAUAAAACCCGCCCACGCCAGUCUAGCAACCACCAAUCAAAUUCAACCUUUCCCAGCUUCUACCAAUCAGCCGUAACGAAUUGGAGACAGGGCGUGGCUUGCUUGUGGACUGACCAAUGAUUUGCACUCUAAUACGAAAGGGGGAGGAGCUUACGUGCCAAGGUUAUUUAAUCAGAGUAUGGCAUUACAAUUAGUGUUUACCUUGUUAUGAAUUCCAAAUAUUGUACAUGUGUGUGUGUGUGUGUGUGUGUGUGUGUGUGUGUGUGUGUGUGUGUGUGUGUGUGUGUGUGUGUGUGUGUGUGUGU